rnacentral:rRNA from 1 species
AACACGCGCUGAUGAUAGUGUGGGGUCUCCCCAUGCGAAAGUAAGUCAUCGCCAGGG